GUCUUUGUGGUGUAGUUGGUUAUCACAUCUGUCUAACACAAAGAAGUCUCCAGUUCAAAAUUGGACAAAAACA